rnacentral:lncRNA from 1 species
GAUCGUCUAUCCUCUUGUUCAUAUGCCAUUGACCUUAAAUUCGAGCCCGUAUCCUCGACAUCCGACGACCCCGGCCUUUCGGUUAAAAACUGCUCCCAAAACACAUCAUUAACCCGAGGCUGAACACUUGCAGGCGCUGCUGCAUUUUUAGCCGGGUCAUCACGUGCAGAAGAUAAACUCACGUUUUGACCUGAAGGUUUUGCAACACCCUCAAAUGAUUCAGGGAUUGUAUCUGUAUCUGGACUCCGGUUGAUUUGAGAUACACAAGAUGCUAAAGUGAGAUUCAAUUGACAGGAUAAAUGGCCCUCGGGUUCUUCAUUAGCAUCUAAACACGGCCCGGUCUUGUGCAUGAAAGAAGAUUCCAUGUUAAAACCAAACGAUGUGCAGGUGUCUGAAAGCUCUUGAGGCCCGCCAGGUGUCAACUCAUUAUUCGUUCGGCAGUCUUCGGUUAAUCUGAUUUGUGGACUUCCACCGUCUUCGUUUGAGCUUUGAGUGCUGUUGGAGACGAAAUUGACAUCGGAAACGGCUGGUGAUAACUCGAGCCGAAGCUUGUUUGAAAAAUCAUGAUGAAAAACAUUCCCGAAAUCAGGCCUCGACGGGCUGUGAUUGUCUACAAGACUAUCUUCAGGGGAAACGCGAGACCCGGGCAAUCUUCGUUUCUUGUUAUCAGCUGAAAAAUCCAUGGACUCGAGCUUUUGAGCAAGGCGUUCGACAAAUUCGGGAUUUUGAGAUGCUUUCUUUAAAAAGUUCAACAGUGUGUCUUGUUUUUGUUCCAUAUUGUUGACACGUUGAGUAAGAUCUUCGAGUUGAAGUUUUGUACUGGGUUGUUGUUGUUUAAACCUUUGAAUGUUCUUCUCGAGUGAAUUCUUUUCACGUGGUCGGCUGUUGAAGAUUGAGGAUUGUUACUGUGACUGUGAAUAGGUUUUCUUCGAUGAAUGUUCUUCAACAGGUGUUUUUUAUCUUUGAUAAAUUCUUCAUUGGCGAAUUCCCAUCUUUCAGGAUCGAUCUUUCUGAACCCCUGUAAAAUUUGUAGUAAUUACAAUUAAAUGUAGAUCUUCUUGAAUAAGUAAGCAAUUGAUUUACUGAACUUGAAUUUCCUUUUGGUAAUCAAUAUUUCAUGACUUCGU